rnacentral:rRNA from 1 species
ACUGGUAUGAAGGGUUGGACAAAGGAAAAGCUGUCUUUAUAUUAGAAGUUGAAUUUUACUUUUAAGUGAAAAGGCUUAAAUAAAUCAAAGGGACGAUAAGACCCUAUAAAGCUUUAUAAAUUAUUUAAAUUUAGUUAAUUUAAAAUAUAAAAAUUAAUUUUACAUUAUUUUAUUUUAUUGGGGCGAUAUGAGUAUAAUUAUUGUUAACUGCUUAAAAAGAGAACAAAUUUGGGUGAGUAUUAAGUUAAAUGAUCCUUUCUAAAGAUUAGAAGACUAAGUUACUUUAGGGAUAACAGCGUUAUUUCUUUUGAGAGUUCAUAUCGAAAAAGAAGAUUGCGACCUCGAUGUUAAAUUAAAAUAUCUAUAUAAUGCAUUCGUUAUAAAAGAGGGUCUGUCCAAUAAUUAUU